GACGAACGCUGGCGGCGUGCCUAAUACAUGCAAGUAGAACGCUGAAGGAGGAGCUUGCUUCUCUGGAUGAGUUGCGAACGGGUGAGUAACGCGUAGGUAACCUGCCUGGUAGCGGGGGAUAACUAUUGGAAACGAUAGCUAAUACCGCAUAAGAGUAGAUGUUGCAUGACAUUUGCUUAAAAGGUGCAAUUGCAUCACUACCAGAUGGACCUGCGUUGUAUUAGCUAGUUGGUGAGGUAACGGCUCACCAAGGCAACGAUACAUAGCCGACCUGAGAGGGUGAUCGGCCACACUGGGACUGAGACACGGCCCAGACUCCUACGGGAGGCAGCAGUAGGGAAUCUUCGGCAAUGGACGGAAGUCUGACCGAGCAACGCCGCGUGAGUGAAGAAGGUUUUCGGAUCGUAAAGCUCUGUUGUAAGAGAAGAACGAGUGUGAGAGUGGAAAGUUCACACUGUGACGGUAUCUUACCAGAAAAGGACGGCUAACUACGU
rnacentral:rRNA from 1 species